rnacentral:rRNA from 1 species
UGGGGAAUCUUCCGCAAUGGACGAAAGUCUGACGGAGCAACGCCGCGUGAGUGAAGAAGGUUUUCGGAUCGUAAAACUCUGUCUUUUGGGGCGAACGUGAGUAUGGUGAACAAUCAUAGUCAGUGACGGUACCAAAGGAGGAAGCCACGGCUAACUACGUGCCAGCAGCCGCAGUAAUACGUAGGUGGCAAGCGUUGUCCGGAAUUAUUGGGCGUAAAGAGCGCGUAGGCGGGAUAGUCAGUCUGUUGUAAAGUGCGGGGCUCAACCCCGUGAUGGCAAUGGAAACAGCUAUUCUUGAGUGCAGGAGAGGAAAGUGGAAUUCCCAGUGUAGCGGUGAAAUGCGUAGAUAUUGGGAGGAACACCAGUGGCGAAGGCGACUUUCUGGACUGUGUCUGACGCUGAGGCGCGAAAGCCAGGGGAGCGAACGGGAUUAAAAUUACCCCCGGUAGUCCUGGCCGUAAACGAUGAGUACUAGGUGUAGGAGGUAUCGACCCCUUCUGUGCCGCAGUUAACACAAUAAGUACUCCGCCUGGGGAAGUACGAUCGCAAGAUUAAAACUCAAAGGAAUUGACGGGGUCAUAGCUG